rnacentral:rRNA from 1 species
UCUGGUUGAUCCUGCCGGAGGCUACCGCUAUUGGAGUUCGAUUAAGCCAUGCGAGUCGCGAGAAAUUAGAUUCUCGGCGUACCGCUCAGUAACACGUGGGUAACCUGCCCUAUGCUGGAUAAUAACCUCGGGAAACUGAGAAUAAUGAUCCAUAGUUCACUACGCCUGGAACGGUGAGUGGAUGAAAGCUCCGGCGGCAUAGGAUGGGCCUGCGGCGUAUCAGGUUGUAGGGGGUGUAACGUACCCUCUAGCCCUCUACGCGUACGGGUGUUGGGAGACAUAGCCCGGAGAUGGAUUCUGAGACACGAAUCCAGACCCUACGGGGUGCAGCAGGCGCGAAAACUUGGCAAUGCGAGAAAUCGUGACCAGGGAACUCCAAGUGCAUCGGGUAAGACCGGUGCUUUUCUUGACUCUAAAUAGGUCUUGGAAUAAGGGGUGGGUAAGGACGGUGCCAGCCGCCGCGGUAAUACCGGCGCCUCAAGUGGUAGUCGCUUUUAUUGGGCCUAAAACGUCCGUAGCCGGUCUGAUACAUUCGUGGGUAAAUCAACCAGCUUAACUGGUUGAAUUCUGCGAGGACGGUCAGACUUGGGACCGGGAGAGGUGUGGGGUACGCUCAGGGUAGGGGUAAAAUCCUGUCAUCCUGAGCGGACCACCUGUUGCGAAGGCGCCACACUAGAACGGAUCCGACGGUCAGGGACGAAGCCUAGGGGCACGAACCGGAUUAGAUACCCGGGUAGUCCUAGGUGUAAACGCUGUGGACUUGAUGUUGGGGGUGCUACGAGCACUCUCAGUGUCGAAGCGAAGGUGAUAAGUCCACUGCCUGGGAAGUACGGUCGCAAGGCUGAAACUUAAAGGAAUUGGCGGGGGAGCACCGCAACCUGAGGAUUGUGCGGUUUAAUUGGACUCAACGCCGGGA